rnacentral:rRNA from 1 species
AGACUCCUACGGGAGGCAGCAGUGAGGAAUAUUGGACAAUGGAGGAGACUCUGAUCCAGCCAUGCCGCGUGCAGGAAGACGGCCCUAUGGGUUGUAAACUGCUUUUAUACGGGAAGAAAAACAGCUACGUGUAGUUGACUGACGGUACCGUAAGAAUAAGGACCGGCUAACUCCGUGCCAGCAGCCGCGGUAAUACGGAGGGUCCGAGCGUUAUCCGGAAUUAUUGGGUUUAAAGGGUCCGUAGGCGGGCCAUUAAGUCAGGGGUGAAAGUCUGCGGCUCAACCGUAGAAUUGCCUUUGAUACUGGUGGUCUUGAGUUAUGGUGAAGUGGCUGGAAUAUGUAGUGUAGCGGUGAAAUGCAUAGAUAUUACAUAGAACACCGAUUGCGAAGGCAGGUCACUAACCAUAUACUGACGCUGAUGGACGAAAGCGUGGGGAGCGAACAGGAUUAGAUACCCUGGUAGUCCACGCCGUAAACGAUGGAUACUAGUUGUUACUUUAUUCAUGACUAGCGAAAAGUGAUAAGUGUCCCACCUGGGGAGUACGAUCGCAAGUUGAAACUCAAAGGAAUUGACGGGGCCCGCACAAGAAGC